GACGAACGCUGGCGGCGUGCCUAACACAUGCAAGUCGAGCGGGGUUGAGGCGAGAGGUAACUCGAGCUUCUACCUAGCGGCGGACGGGUGAGUAACGCGUGGGCAACCUGCCUCAAGGUUUGGGAUAACAGCCCGAAAGGGCUGCUAAUACCGGAUAUGCCUAUGGCCUCGCAUGGGGCUAUGAGCAAAGGGGAAACCCGCCUUGAGAUGGGCCCGCGUCCCAUCAGCUAGUUGGUGAGGUAACAGCUCACCAAGGCGACGACGGGUAGCCGGCCUGAGAGGGUGACCGGCCACACUGGGACUGAGACACGGCCCAGACUCCUACGGGGGGCAGCAGUGGGGGAUCUUGCACAAUGGGCGAAAGCCUGAUGCAGCGACGCCGCGUGAGCGAAGAAGGCCUCGGUGUAAGCUCUGUCUGGAGGGACGGAACAAAAUGACGGUACCUCCCGGAGGAAGCCACGGCUAACUACGUG
rnacentral:rRNA from 1 species